ensembl:lncRNA
GUCGUCAUGAAAAAAAACACAAGGGGUAACACUGUCGUUUUAAUCAAAUGAAAAAUGAGGGGUAACAUUGUUGUUUUUAUCAAAUGGAACAUGAGGAGAAACACUGUCAUUUUUCUUUGGUCGUCAUGAAAAAAAAACCAUAAGGGUUAACACUGUUGUUUUUUAUUGGUCGUCAUGAAAAAAAACAUAAGGGUUAACACUGUUGUUUUUUAUUGGUCGGCAUGAAAAAAAACAUCAGGGGUAACACUGUUGUUUUUUAUUGGUCGUCCUGAAAAAAAACAUAAGGGGUAACACUGUUGUUUUUUAUUGGUCGUCAUGAAAAAAAACAUAAGGGGUAACACUGUUGUUUUUUAUUGGUCGGCAUGAAAAAAAACAUCAGGGGGUAACACUGUUGUCUUUGUCAAAUAAAAUAUAAGGGGUAACACUGUCGUUUUUUAUUGGUGGUCAUGAAAAUAAACAUAAGGGAAAUAAUAUAAAUACACACAUACAUUUUAAUGUCAUGUACAUCCUCUUUAUUGAUCAUUGAUUAUUGUGUAUUGUCAUGAAAUAAACAUAAGGGGUAACGCUGUCGAUAUUUAUCAAAUAAAACAUAGGGGGUAACACUGUUGUUUUUCUUUGGUCGUCAUGAAAAAAAACACAACGGGGUAACACUGUUGUUUUUUAUUGGUCGUCAUGAAAAAAAACAUAAAGGGUAACACUGUUGUCUUUGUCAAAUAAAAUAUAAGGGGUAACACUGUCGUUUUUUAUUGGUGGUCAUGAAAAUAAACAUAAGGGAAAUAAUAGAAAUACACACAUACAUUUUAAUGUCAUGUACAUCCUCUUUAUUGAUCAUUGAUUAUUGUGUAUUGUCAUGAAAUAAACAUAAGGGGUAACGCUGUCGAUAUUUAUCAAAUAAAACAUGGG